rnacentral:pre_miRNA from 1 species
AGUGGGAUAGUUGGGUCAAAUGGUGAUUCCAUUCCAAGUUUUCUAAGGAAUCUCCAUAAUGCUUUCCAGAUUGAUUGCACCAAUUUGCAGCCCCAUUGGCAAU